CCAGCUCAACCGGUAGAGCAUGGCGUUCACAUCGCCGGGGUUAGGGGUUCGUUUCCCCCCCCCAAUGGGA